rnacentral:rRNA from 1 species
UGAUUGAACUAGGGGUCCUCAUCGGAUUACCGAAUUCAGUCAAACUCCGAAUGCCAAUGACUUAUCCUUAGGAGUCAGACUGCGAGUGAUAAGAUCCGUAGUCAAGAGGGAAACAGCCCAGAUCGCCAGCUAAGGUCCCAAAGUGUGUAUUAAGUGGAAAAGGAUGUGGAGUUGCUUAGACAACUAGGAUGUUGGCUUAGAAGCAGCCACCAUUUAAAGAGUGCGUAAUAGCUCACUAGUCGAGUGACUCUGCGCCGAAAAUGUACCGGGGCUAAAUACACCACCGAAGCUGCGAAUUGAUACCAAUGGUAUCAGUGGUAGGGGAGCGUUCUAAGUGCAGUGAAGUCAGACCGGAAGGACUGGUGGAGCGCUUAGAAGUGAGAAUGCCGGUAUGAGUAGCGAAAGACGGGUGAGGAAUCCCGUCCACCGAAUGCCUAAGGUUUCCUGAGGAAGGCUCGUCCGCUCAGGGUUAGUCAGGACCUAAGCCGAGGCCGACAGGCGUAGGCGAUGGACAACAGGUUGAUAUUCCUGUACCACCUCUUUAUCGUUUGAGCAAUGGAGGGACGCAGAAGGAUAGAAGAAGCGUGCGAUUGGUUGUGCACGUCCAAGCAGUUAGGCUGAUAAGUAGGCAAAUCCGCUUAUCGUGAAGGCUGAGCUGUGAUGGGGAAGCUCCUUAUGGAGCGAAGUCUUUGAUUCCCCGCUGCCAAGAAAAGCUUCUAGCGAGAUAAAAGGUGCCUGUACCGCAAACCGACACAGGUAGGCGAGGAGAGAAUCCUAAGGUGUGCGAGAGAACUCUGGUUAAGGAACUCGGCAAAAUGACCCCGUAACUUCGGGAGAAGGGGUGCUUUCUUAACGGAAAGCCGCAGUGAAUAGGCCCAAGCGACUGUUUAGCAAAAACACAGCUCUCUGCGAAGCCGUAAGGCGAAGUAUAGGGGGUGACACCUGCCCGGUGCUGGAAGGUUAAGGAGAGGGGUUAGCGUAAGCGAAGCUCUGAACUGAAGCCCCAGUAAACGGCGGCCGUAACUAUAACGGUCCUAAGGUAGCGAAAUUCCUUGUCGGGUAAGUUCCGACCCGCACGAAAGGUGUAACGAUUUGGGCACUGUCUCAACCAGAGACUCGGUGAAAUUAUAGUACCUGUGAAGAUGCAGGUUACCCGCGACAGGACGGAAAGACCCCGUGGAGCUUUACUGUAGCCUGAUAUUGAAUUUUGGUACAGUUUGUACAGGAUAGGCGGGAGCCAUUGAAACCGGAGCGCUAGCUUCGGUGGAGGCGCUGGUGGGAUACCGCCCUGACUGUAUUGAAAUUCUAACCUACGGGUCUUAUCGACCCGGGAGACAGUGUCAGGUGGGCAGUUUGACUGGGGCGGUCGCCUCCUAAAGUGUAACGGAGGCGCCCAAAGGUUCCCUCAGAAUGGUUGGAAAUCAUUCGUAGAGUGCAAAGGCAUAAGGGAGCUUGACUGCGAGACCUACAAGUCGAGCAGGGACGAAAGUCGGGCUUAGUGAUCCGGUGGUUCCGCAUGGAAGGGCCAUCGCUCAACGGAUAAAAGCUACCCCGGGGAUAACAGGCUUAUCUCCCCCAAGAGUCCACAUCGACGGGGAGGUUUGGCACCUCGAUGUCGGCUCAUCGCAUCCUGGGGCUGUAGUCGGUCCCAAGGGUUGGGCUGUUCGCCCAUUAAAGCGGUACGCGAGCUGGGUUCAGAACGUCGUGAGACAGUUCGGUCCCUAUCCGUCGUGGGCGUAGGAAAUUUGAGAGGAGCUGUCCUUAGUACGAGAGGACCGGGAUGGACGCACCGCUGGUGUACCAGUUGUUCUGCCAAGGGCAUAGCUGGGUAGCUAUGUGCGGAAGGGAUAAGUGCUGAAAGCAUCUAAGCAUGAAGCCCCCCUCAAGAUGAGAUUUCCCAUAGCGUAAGCUAGUAAGAUCCCUGAAAGAUGAUCAGGUUGAUAGGUUCGAGGUGGAAGCAUGGUGACAUGUGGAGCUGACGAAUACUAAUAGAUCGAGGACUUAACCAUAUAA